AUCAGGGGAAUAGCCCGCCGAAAGGCGGAUUAAUGCCCCAUAGGCCCAGGGCGCCGCAUGGCGCUAUGGGUAAAGCUCCGGCGGAUGGGGAUGGGCAUGCGUGCCAUUAGCUAGUUGGGGCGGUAACGGCGCACCAAGGCGACGAUGGCUAGGGGGUCUGAGAGGAUGGUCCCCCACACUGGUACUGAGACACGGACCAGACUCCUACGGGAGGCAGCAGUGAGGAAUAUUGGUCAAUGGGCGGAAGCCUGAACCAGCCAAUGCCGCGUGCAGGAUGACCGGCCCGUACGGGUUAGUAAACUGUCCGUUUUCCCCGGGAAAGAAAUAACGCCCCUCGUGGAGGGGUGAUGCCGGUACCGGGGGAAUAAGGAUCGGCUAACUCCGUGCCAGCCGCGGC
rnacentral:rRNA from 1 species